AAACCUCUGGCGAAAAUCGUGAAUGUUU
rnacentral:ncRNA from 1 species